UUGUGUACAUUGCAUAGAGAUGGAAAGGGAGGUGAAAUGUGUCAACAAAUGGGUCAAAGGUGCAACAACAUAUGUUGCACAUGGCAUUGGAUUCCAAAUGUGAAUGAUGGAGCAUCAAUUGGUGCAUGUAAUGGAUGUAAAUGUUGUCUAAAAUCUAAUGAGUGAAGGGAACAAGAGGUAUCAAGCAAUUGAGUGUAAUAAUUAAAUGAAUUGAAGCAUGAAAUUAGAAAUUAUGUAAGGGACAAGAGUGAUCAAGCAUGGCAUGGAAUCCAAAGGGAAUUCUAUGUGGUUUGCAUGGCAAGGAAUGCAAGUUGGGGUGACAGAUUUUUGGGCUGUUU
rnacentral:lncRNA from 1 species